rnacentral:rRNA from 1 species
GACAGAGGGUGCAAACGUUGCUCGGAAUCACUGGGCGUAAAGGGCGUGUAGGCGGGAAGGUAAGUCGGGGGUGAAAGCCCAGAGCUCAACUCUGGAACUGCCUUCGAAACUAGAGGACUUGGGUACGGGAGAGGUUGGUGGAAUUCUCGGUGUAGAGGUGAAAUUCGUAGAUAUCGAGAGGAACACCGGUGGCGAAGGCGGCAUCCUGGACCGGUAUUGACGCUGAGGCGCGAAAGCCAGGGGAGCAAACGGG